AUCCCCAGGUCUUUUGACUUUCCCUCUCUGCAGAAAUCCCCCAGAUUUCUGGCUUCAAAACAAGAUCACUUCACCUUGCCUGCAGACCAGGGAUGGGAUGGGGAAGGAAACCUGCUGGCAGGGCGGUGCCGGUGGUGCCGUGCCCCGGGCAGUGCUGCGGGACUCCCGCUCCCCCGGGCAGUGCCUUGACCUGCGGCUCCCUCACCGAGUGCUUGUCAGGGCUCUCCUGCAUGACGGGGCAUUUUGGAGACCCAUCUGUUCGUCUGGGGAAGUAGGUUGGCUGAUUGUUUUUCUUUUUUCAAGGGUAGAAGGAAGCAAAACCCUUAUUUCUUUUUUCCCUCAGAGAUUAUUUAUAAGGCAUUAUCUCUACUACUGCCAGCUGCCAUCCUCUGGCGUCACUAGCACUCAGUGCACAGAAGAUGCCUCAAGGUGUGUCAGCCGUGCCGCACGUCAAUGCGCCUUGAUGUAUCUCCUUGGCUGGGAUUGAAAGCGCAUCAGGAGCAAUAUCUACUUCGUAAACAACAGCAUGAAACGCCACGCUCAGGAUCCUGCCUGCCAGACUCAGCUGUCAGAACCUCGCCCACAAGAAAGAGUUCCUUGGCCUAACGAUAACACCGGAUUUGAAGCACGGUUCUCGGCGUUGAGCGCACUGACGGGACCAAGAGGUGGGGGUGUGUAUACAUAUUGUAUAAUCCAUAGCGUGAACUCAUCUCUGGAUAUCUUUCUGUUAAGUGACUGUCUUUUUUUCAUUAAGAUAAGUAACAGUUCAACAUAUGUGGUUACUUAAGAAAUUCCUCAGGAUCUUUAGUGGAGUCUUUUGGGAUAAGAUGUGAAAUCAGCCGUUGUCAUUCAUGACAAAGAUCCCACAUAAUUUUUCCAAAGAGUUCAGCAUGCCAAUGAGAGUGGAUCAGCGUAAGUGAUUGUAUUUUGCCUGUGCAUUUUCCAUCUGAGGUUUGGCUCCGAGAUGGGACUUCUGCCUUCCCUGCCCUAAUCUGCCUUCAAGUACCACUUUGCAUUGAAGUACCUUAUGUUUUUGGCCAGGCCAGGAGAACUGUGAACUUCAUUGCCUUGCCUUGCUUCACAGGAAGGUGAGGUUAUCGUUGGUGAGAUCCUGCUCACCUUAAUCAAAGACAAAACCUGAACCCCAGAGAAGUAGUUCAGGACUGCUUGUGUGAGGCACCUGCAGGAUGGGCAGGGCAUCCCUCUCUCAGGUAAAGCUGUUCCAAAGAUGUUUAUCGUACUUGUCACCUCUGAUUGCUUUCAAAUAUCAACGUUAUUAAAGCUAUCCAAGGCAGAUGAUACAGAUUUUGUGCAAGGGGUGAGUAGUUCAACCAGACCUACCCUGAAGUUCCUGCCUUGAACCGUGAGAUCCCCAAUACUUCCCUGGGGAUUUAACCCCACAUGUGGGGUCUUGGAGCCAAGCCAGGCUACUGUAGACAGAACAGCCCCUUCCUUGUGCCAGCAGGGUGGGAUGGUGUCCAGCUCUGUGUUUCAGGAUGUUAGAAACUGGACCGGCUCCACUGCUGUAGUCCUAGAUGUGAAACAGCAUCUAAGGCCUUUUGGGGUGUUUCCUGUGGAUGUGAGAUUGAUGGUAAUUCUCUGGUGCAAUCCUGCUUAUUUACAAAGAAUAAAUAGCUUUCCUGAACCCUGUGCAGCAAUAUGUAACAACUUUGAUGGAAUCACUGGUCAGCACUGCCAGGGAGUUUUCUCCUGAAAGAGAGCUCUGCUCCCUGCUUUCCUCCUUGGCUCUUCCAUCAGCAAUGGCUCAGAUGCACCUUGGCUGUGGUUUCUCCACAAGUUGUGUGGAUCUUUCCAUCUGUGGCCUGUACACUUCACAUGAUCUGCACCAGGGAAGGCUGGGCCCCCACACACCACAGGUCCUGGGCUGUGCAGCCUGGGGAGAUCGGAGCUUCCACAUGUCUCCUUCUUCCACAAAAAUGCUGUGAACCUGAACAACCUGGGUCAGCAUCACAUUAUGGCCAUGCCCUCCCAACCCAGGCACAGGUGGGACAGAGCUGGCCUCAGGGUGUGUACCCUGGCUGCCUGCCGUUCCCAAAAUCUGGCCAGAAAGCUGAGUGACAAGUGUCACCUAAUUGUCCAAAUAAAUAGCUCCUUUUGAGCUCAAAUGGAGGAAGGAAUACAAAAGGAGUCCUUGUAUGUCUUGGCUGUUGUCUGUAUCCAAAUGUAUUAUUGCAGUGUGUAGCUGCCUCCAUGCCUACACUUUCAUCAUUACAUUAAUUUCAUCCUUCUGUGGGGAAUAAUUACAUUACAUGUUAAUAUUACUAGUAGUUUGCACUGUUAAAAUUCUAUUAUACUCCCAUAAAAUCCAAUGACAAUUUCAUAGCUAGAAUAAGUAACUCUACAUCCCCAAUUUAAAUCUAUGUAUGUAUGGCCAAAAAUCAUCUUUUGCUGGUAGGAUGAAGCAUUUCCUAAGAUUUUAGAAAUUUUUUUUUCCAGUAGCAUGCAGUCCAAAGUCCAACGUUGAUCCAACAGAACUUGGAUGUUGCAGGGACUGCCAGGCAGCCCUAUCACAACUGGAUGUUGCCUUGUGCUGCUGUCUUUUGUGAUACAGCUUUUAUUUCCACAGUUAUGAUCUCUUAUGUCAUGGCUGUGACCAAAUACACCUGGUUGAUGAAUUUGCAAUUUCGGUUAAAUACAUAGGGGAUUUAACAGUGUGAUGACAACUUGUUAAUUAAAUUUGCAUAGCUUUUAGAAUAUGCAGAAAUAACAUGCUCCUGUGGAUCUCCAAUCUUUUAAGCAUUGUAGACUUUUUAUUUUGUUGCUCAGAGUAAACACUGGGCUCUGUGUAUCCAUCCUGCUCUCCAUCUGGUAUUCUGAGACUGUAAGCAGUAGUAAAGGUGGGGCUACAGACUUCAAAGAUACUCAUACGUCCUGAAACUAAGCACGCUGCUAAACUCCCUUUAAUGCCUCUGUGGGAAAGUGUCUCCAUAUGUCAUCCCAUGUAUUUUCUUUGCUAUUUAAAGUAUUGCUUAAUAGUACACUAAGCUGGUGGAAAACUAUUUGCUUUGUUGGGUUAGUUCUACUUGGGCUUAAUGCAGGGCUGGGUGAGCACCAGAUCUUGUGCAUGGGAGCAAGUGGGACCAGGAGCAGCUGGGGUGGAAGGAAGAGGGGCUGGGGCACCCAGCAGGAAGUGGGAUUUCCAGUGCUGGGAGGUGGUUAUCAGUCCAGCUGAGUGGACAAAUCCUUGGCUGGCUGGGAGGUGUUGAGGCAGGGGUGUAGCUGGACUUGCACUUCAUCAAUUGCACAAACAGCCUGUGGGAAAGAAAACUGUGGGAGUUCUUGCCUCAUACGCCCAAGAUUAUUGCUUUCAGUGCAAUUUUUACCCAUUUGCAGCUGGCCUGUGAAAUGGGCUCUUCUUGGAUUAGAAAAUACUGUCUUCUUCAGCGUUUGCAGCAUUAUGUCUCCAGUGUGUGAACCCAAUAUUCACACAGGAUUGUGUAAUGGUAAAAGUAUUUGCCUGGAACAGCCAGCUUUAUGAUUGACUGAUUAUAUUCUACUGAAGAUUGAAGUGAAGAUAACAUUUUCAAAAGAAAAAUAUUGCUGGCACUUGACUACCUGUUCUGUACAGCAUUUAUUCGCACUUGUCAAGUAACCAAAAUAAAACCUUUAAUACUGCCAAUUUGUGACCUUCUUUGCUGUAAAAUACUCUGUUACUAAAUCAGCACUUCUCUGCUGCCUGUGUUUGUCUUAAACCUUUUUGUGAAACAGUAUCUACCCCCUUAGAGCCAUUUACUGCUCUCGCUGUGUACGCAAUGAGAGUUCUGUGCAAAGAUCAAGGGGACAUUAGGUGUAGGUACAUCCAGGUGAUAGUGAUGCAGGGUUUACUUUAGGGUUGCUCAUUUAUUAGGAUACAUGUUGUGUGUUCUUACUGAAAGACAGCUCAGCGGUAUUGGAGCCUGAACUCAUUGUUCUCAACAUUUAAACACUUUUUACGCUGAAUAGUUGGGAAGAGCUGGGUAAAUGUUUUGAGGUUUUUUAAGGUAAUGAGUGAAAGACACAUGAAACUAGAGUUAUGUUUUACCUGCUUAAUACAGCCAUAAACAGUACUGCCUGGUUUAUAAUGAGAAGAUGUUACAUUUCUUAUAAUAAUCUGUGAUGAAUAGGAAGUGUUUUUGCCUAUGGCUAUAUUGUGCUAGGGUCUGAUUAUAUCAGAGCUCAUAAAUGAAAAAGUCAAAAGGGGCCACUGUGAUCAUCUGGCUUGGCCUCUUUUAUAAUACAAGCCAUGGGACUUCCCUGAAUUAAUUCCUGUUUGAACUGGAGCAAAAGUUUAGAGAAACAGCCAAUCUCAAUUAAAAUACUUCCAGUGAUGAAGAGCCCACAGCAACCCUUAGUGAAUUGUUUCAAGGAAAAACUAUCUUUGCCCUUACAUUUUUGAGCCUUAUUUUUAUUUUGAAUUUCUCCUAAUUCGGCUUCCAGCAAUUAAAUCUCAUUAUGCCUUUGUCUACUAGACUAACUCUUAUUUAUCAAAAUCACAUUCCUGCCAUAGAUACUUACAGUCUGCGAUCAUCUCAACUCUUAGCCUCUUCUUUUCUAAAACAAGAUACGAAACUCCUAGAGUAUGCUAUAAAACUUUGUGUAGUGGUUUAAUCAGUCCCAUGGCUCUUCUUCAUAGUCUGUGAAAUCCCUUAGCAUCCUCUAUGGAUUGAAAACAUGAAGAACGGUCUGUAGCCCAUCAUGGCUCCUACCAAUGCUAAGUGCAGCAGCAACACUGCCUUCCUUGCUCUUCAUGCAUGCUCCUGGCUCCCUUGCAUCCCUUCUGGCUGCAGUGCUCAUUGGGAGUUUAUAUGCAGAAAGUUACUGACCAUCAACAUUCAAAAGUUAAGUCAAAGUUAGAAAUGUACUGAGUAACUUAGAAGUAAAAAAAAAAAAGAAAAAGAAAUAUUUCAGAAGAUAUUUUACUUUCCUUAUGUAGAACCAAACAAGUGCAGGAAAAAAUUCCUCUCACUGCCUGCCUCUCUUAUAUGUCUAUGUAUGUAGUUGUGUGCAACAGCUUUAAUGGUUAGAGAAGCAACAGGGUUGAGCAUCAGGGGCUCCACUCCAGAGCACAUCAACUGGUGAAGGGAAGGCAGGAGAGAAAGAGGUUGGCAGCCCCACCCACAGCAGAACUUGCUCCCCAUCUCUCCACAGUGCUGUGGAGGUGGGCCAAGGGGGGAGGUCCUCUGGCAUUCCCUUCCUGAACAUCACCAGUCCCAGCAGACUGUAAGGAAGGAGGACAUGGAGAGGCAAAGAAGUGCCUGAAGGUGGAUUUCCCCAAAUCUACUUGACUGUGAAAGCCCGGGUACACUCAGUUUUUAAAGCAAGGGUAGUGAGACAUUCAAGACCAUUCAAUAGCCUAGCAGUGUUCCUUCAGCCUUGUAUGCUGUUUUCUCUAACCAGCUUCCUCAAAGUCAUUUUACACUUCAUCUUGGAGAAUGAGUAAGCAUCUUCAUACCACUUUAGACAGUAUCAUCAGUAGUUUGUGUAACUUGCACAGCUACCUAUGUAAAGCAGCCACUCACCCCCAGGAGAUUAGUGAAGAUUAUGCUAAACCUCCUUCCUGUGUAUGGUCUCUGUUGUUAUGUGAAAUCCUUAUAUAAAAUCUCAUGUAGGUAUUGUUGCUGAUGCUUCCUUUGCCUUUAUUGUGGCAGCAUAGGUGGGCUUUCAGUUUAUAAAUACUGCUGAUAUCAGCCAACAGUACAGGGUAAAAAUGAACAUGUUUUAUACAGUAAAUACACUUGUGAUAAAUGUCCCCAUAGGAACUAUACUUAUACUAAUGUUCCAUUUACUGCAUUUAUUUAAGAUACCAAAAUUAAUUGCAACUACCACAGCCAAUUUAUGUGCUUAGCAUUCUGUUACACACCCUUGAAGUCUGAAAUUCAUUAACAUCAUACAUAUUUUAACACACUCGUCUGUCUCUUUCUCUUUUCUUAACUGUGUGUAGGAUCUAAGAUAUUUUCCUCGGGGCUUGGAGAGGUGUUGCUCCACACUGUGCUGUAGCACAGGGUCUUAGAUUUACCCCGUAGGAGUUUAAUGAGUGUUUAUCUUCUGACAGUGCCAGGAGGCUGUCUUGCAGUCAAUCCUUCCGCUGGCUGUAGUUUCUCAAUGCAGUGCUGAUCAUAUCUCAGUGAAGGUGGAUCUCACUCUCCUUCAUAGCAAUGUCAAUGACCCAGUGUUGCAAUAAUGUCUCAGGGAAGCAUAUGCUUGCCCACUGCUGUAUUGUAUCAACAAGAAUUUCCUUUUUCGAUGCCCUGAGUUUUUUCAAGGUUACAGCUUGUUCUGGGGAGAUCCCCAGUUACAACAGUCUCCUGCUUAGAAGGCAGUCAGGGUUUUGGUUGUAGUGAAUUCUCAUCUUUUCACAUGCACUGAUCUUCCUCAUCCUCUCACCACCACUAGUGGCAGUGGUGGUGGGGCUGUGAAUGUAAAAAUAUGCAGACAACAUUGUGUGCAGCAGCAGGAUGUUGUUCAGGCUCUUGGUACAUCUAUUUCUUUACCCAGGAAGGGCUGGCUGUAUUUUUUCUUUGCCUUUUGCAGAGAUAGGGUCUCUCUCUCUCAACACUCUGUUGAGGUCAUUGCAACCAUCCAAGCUAACACAUUCCUGGGUUAAGUUACCAUCUCUCAAUUGGGAAACAGUUCAAUUCAUAGCAAGCAGUUCAAAAAUAAAGUAAUACGUGCUAAAUUUACACUCAGCUGUGACAGUGUUUUAACUUCACAUUUAAAAGAGAUGUACAAGUACCUACAAUCUUCUAGCUCAAAAUUGUAACUUUUUGGUGCAUUUUCUCAGAAGGCCCAUUCCUACUGUGCUCCAAGGCCUGCUAGGGAUGCUGCAGUUUUUCAUAGCUUCUUUUGCUGUUUGGACCACAUUUCCCCACAUGCCUCACAUCUGCUUACCAGGUUCCUGGAUAUCCUUGAUAUAGUUUGGCCAGUCUGCUGUGCUCUCCAGAUACAGAAUUCUCUUCCAAAAUGGCUCUGUGUUAUUCUUAAAAGUUUCUAUUUUCAGUCAUCCAACUGCCCUUACAUACACUAUCUUCUGUGCCCAAUCCGUCUUGAUAGCUCCAAUAUUUUUGAGAAGAAAGCAAAAUUCUUCCCUGAUGUCUGGCUACCCUAUCAGAAAUCUAGAUGUAAGCACUUGUAAAUCUUUGUCUUGUGAGGUUUGUUUUCAGAUAUUUUCCAAAUCCCUGCCUUGAAACCAUCUGUAUAAGAAUAAAAAAAAAAAAAAAAAAAAAAAAAAAAAAAAAAAAAAGAGGGGAAAACUAUCCACUUUGCACAUAUACUGAGCAGAAGCUUUUUUAAAAUCCCUGGUUAAAAUGGUAUAUGGCUGGAUUUUCUAUCUAUAAGAGUAUUUCUUGCCCAUUUUCACUCUGUUGGUGCUGCAGGACUUCUAUGGCUAAAAAUUCAUUCUUGUUAUAUAAAAGUAGAAUUGCUUUGCAGAGUCAGAAGUUUUGUUAAAAGUUGUUUAUGACUUUCUACACCUAAACUUACACACACAACUCUAUGGCCAGACACUCUUCCAAAAAAGCUAUGGAAUAUUUCCGUCCUCAGUGCAAUGGCCCAAUUCUGUUCCAAGUGCAUCAUAUUAUUUGCUUGCCUAUUGAUUUUAGUCAUUGCAUUUAAAGAUGGGAGAUAUGUUCCCUGAUAGAUGUGAUGGCAGCAUUAUGCUGAAGUAUUCUUUAUAUAGCAUCUUUCUUCAGUAGCUGCACCAAGGGUUUCCCCUGCAUUCAAGAUUCUUGGAAUAAAUAUCAGUAGAUAUUUUUAUAAUCUAAUAAGAGAAAUGAGAGAAAAUAGUAAUGAAAAGCAUAAAUAUAAGUAAUGAAAAUAUACCUAAGUAAGAUGAUAAGAAUAUAAAAUGAGAAUGUAAUGGAAAAAAGGAGACAGCAGUCAGCCUUUUCCUCUCCUCUGCAUGUCCUCCUCCUGGCUGCCACUGCUCCCUGGGAGUCAGAGCUCGUUAGCAUUGUCUCCACACGGAGCCCAGCAGUGAUCCCCCAGCUCGCAGGGAGCCACGUCAGCCUCUGGCAUGGCACAGAGCCCUGCUGUGCAAAUGAGCUAGACAGGGGCUGGCAGAGGGUGGUGUAAGGCAGAACUCGUUUGUUCAGGCACAUUUCUUCCACUUAUCAGUCAUGCCAGCUCAGGCACAAGUUUCUUCAUCACCACUGGAGGCAUGUCCUAGGUUCGUGGACAUUAUUUAAUGCAUGAGACUAAACACUGAUCUUGUGGGGCUUUCUGUGGGGUCAGAAGUCAGUGACACUGUGCACGCCUGCUUUUUCACAUCAUACAGGAGGAAGCCACUACUAUGAAGAUUUUAGACCAAAGCAGUAUCAAAGACCAAAACAAAGACCACUGGACAGGAGUCUGCUCUGUGGCAUAAUUGGCAUAUGGGUGAAUCAGCCUGGAAACUGCUUAACAUAAGAGAAAUUAGGUGACUGUAAAAAGAGUGUGACAUCAUUUUAUGCAAAUAAUAACUUGAUGCUUAGAAUGUGAUGGUAUUUCAUUAUGAAAUGAUACAAACACUUAAUUGAUAGUUUGGUUCAAUUGCUACCAAAGACUGGCCAAAGCUGGCUGGAAGACAACACAUGCUCUCCGAGUUGCUGUCCGAGUCUAUCUGACUUCUACUCCUGCUUUAUUUGUAAGACCAAAAGCACUGACUUUCCUGGGGCACAAGUAAGGUGCAGGUCUUUCAGCAUUGCUUGCUGAUGGGCAUUGAGAACUUCCCUGGCUGGCAUAAUGACCUGGAAACACUAUGGAGAUCCUGAAACUAAGAAAGCAAUAGAUCUGCAUAGGACCCCCAGAUUAAACUGGGUUCUCAGUACAUAUGACUUUCCCCCUCAGUUCCAUUGUUUCCUCCAUUGUCCAUUAUUGGGAAGGAACUUCAGCAUCCUGUACAGAAGAAAUCUGCCUUGUAUUUUAAUCAGAUGCCCAUUUUUGAUCUGAGGAAUUGAACCCCCUGGGACACACUGAGCAUGCAUGCACCCACCAGUAAGUCUAACUGCAGUCUGAAGAGCAGAAUAAUUCCUUUAUCCUUGUAAAAAUUCCCCAGUGGAGAUUAUGAGUAAGAUUGAUUGAUAUUAGGUUGAGUGGGGAGCCUGAGAACAACUUGAGGCAUGUGUAGGUUGGAUCACAGGGUUUAACUGUGUGGGGCAGGCCUUGAAUAGAGAGGACAAUGGACAAGUCUGAUAUAGAGUAGUCAAGAUUCAGGUUUUAAGCACCAGAGUGAUCAACAAAUGGAAGUCUCAUGGAGGCUGAGAGGGCCUUGGUGAGGGGAACAUUGCAGAGACCAAGAGCCACGGCUCUGAAAGGCCAUUGGCAAAGUACACCUUGAAACACUUCUGCUCUAUCUCCAGUGGAUAGCUGGGGUGUGCCUUGUCCUGGGGCUCUGGCCCACCACCCACACAGGCACACGGCCCAGCCAGGCUGCACCAUGACCUCUGCCAGUGCUUGCCUUCCUUCAUUGCAGCUGCAACACUGGGAGAGCUCUGCUGACUGGCAGGCAGGCUGCAGAAAAUGGCUCCAGCACAAAGGCUGGCAGUCCUGUCUCCAUACUGUCAUUACCUGGGGGGACAAGAGCAGGGAAAAUUACUUUGAGAAAAGCUAAAAUACUUUUCCCCGAGUCCUGAUAAAAUCAGAUUCUCUGUGUGUGUCAGCCUUUCUGGGACACUUUCCUAGCUCUGAAGAAGGGUUGGUAGCAUUGUACUCUUUACACCUUAGCCAUAAGUCACAUAGGAAUCAGUAGUUAGGGUUGCUCUUUUUUGCACUGCUUUGAGGAAUCUCACUUCUGUCAUGAAACUGCCCAUACCUUAGUUUUAAAUUUUCUCUGACAUGCCUGAAGUCAAGGAAAAAAACCCCCUAAAAUCAAGUGUGAUAAGAGCAUGCUAUAAGCAUUGUCCUCUGAAAAGUCAAAUGAGCUUCCUCUUAAGAUCAAGUAAGGACUUCCAGCCCAGUUGCUCAGCAAGAUGCUAUCAAAAUCUUACUUUUCAAAAUAAAUAUGCUCCUUUGUUUUUUUCAGGGAUAAAAAAUUUAAAAACCCUCUCCUGAGAAAAUCUGGAGAGUUAGUCCUAACUAGAGGAGCAGAUCUGCUCCCCACAACACUCAUUCAACUACUUUCAGUCCAGCUAAUGCCUUAUCACUCAAAAUAUGAACAUCUUUAUUUAAAAGUCAUCUGAGGAUGGAUUCAUCAUGAAAGGAGAAAACAUAUGAGAAGGAGGUGUCUGCACAUGUCAAAAAAUGAUCUAAAAGGAAGUGGGGAAGAAAAAUUAAACAUAUUUUAGUAGGAGGUUAUACUACAAUUAUCACAUAAAUUGGCAAGAACCUGUAAAGCAGUGUUUGAGCCUACAUGACAAGGACAUACAGGGAAAAUCUUCAUAUAUCCACAUAUGUGGUACAGUUUUGAAGUGCUGGUGCAAUGUGUGUGCAUAGGAGAGAACAAGAGCACGUGCAAUGAAAGCAGGAGAGAGCUUCUGUGGCUAUGCCAGCAGGGCAUGACUACAUAAUUUGUUGUGUGGGAAGAAGCUAGCAGAGAUGAUCUUUGAGGUGUUGAAAGUAUGAUGAAUACCUGGGUUAAAAGAUUAAUACAAAGAGAGCACAUGAAGAGUCAGAGUCAUGAACACAGGAAGGUGAAGGACCCACAGGAGUGAUCCAGAGAGACUGGGAGGGCUGCACAUGAAAGGCAGAGGAGCAAAGCAGGGCACCAACUACUGCCCAGUGUAAGAGAAAACUCCUCAAAAUAGAAGAAGAUAGGAAACUUAAAUGGGAAGAAACAAUGUGAAGACACUGAAGAAAUAGAAGGAACAUAAAGCAAAUUUAAAAAAAAAACUUUGGUAAGUUGUGAGUUUUCUAGGGUGAGGACUUCUUGUUUGGGGAUUAUUGUUGUUUUGGUAUAAAAUGCACUCUAGAGACAGAAAGUGUUUACAGUCGAUAUUGUCUGCUUGCUACCUCUCUUAUGAUUUUGGUUUGGGGUUUUUUGGUGUGUUGUAGUUUUUUUGAUUGGUUUAAUGCUUGCUUGGUUGUUUGGGUUUUUUUGUUUUGGUUUGGAUUUUGGUGAGUUUUUUGUUUGUUUGUUUGCUAUGUUCUUUGUGUUUUUAGGGUGUUUUUGGUUUUUUUGUUUGGUUUGGUCUUUUUGGUUUGGGGGGAGGAGUUGGUUGGUUGGUUGGUUGGUUGGUUGGUUGGUUGGUUGGUUGGUUGGUUGGUUGGUGGGGUUUUUUUUGUUUGGACAAAAUUUUUUUCAUUUCCUUGACAAGCAGCUCCUUCUAGCUGUAUCUGUGCAUCCCUGUUAGCGUUCAAACUGUCCCAUUUGCUAUACAAAAAAGUUUCACAGAUUUUGACACAUUAAGGGAAAUUCUCACUGUUAAUUCUCUUCACAUCAUUUGCAGGGAAAGAUAAGAAUAAGGUGUGAAUAUCUUCUCUCUCAGUCUUGGCUGAGCUAUGUCCACACUAAUCUGUCAGGAUUUUCAUGUAGAGGUGGGAUGUAAGCAUAAAGGUGCAGUGAAGGGGAGCAUGAGCUAGAAAAGGGAAGUAAGGAUCUAGGCAGAAAAAAAAUGUGCAGAUGAAUGAAAUGAAGCAAGGGCAGUCAGGAGAGAGUCUAUGAAAGAUAGAACAAAAGUAAAGCAGAAGAUAGAAUAAAAACUUGAUAGGGAGAGCUAAUGAAGUGACAUGCAAACGGAGCAAAAAUAGAAUGGAAAAGAAAAUUAGUAAGGAAAUGAAAAUGUAACAAAAUUUGGGCAAGAAAUCUAGAACAGUAGGAAGAAACUAAAGGAAACUCGAGGGCAAACUAGAGAAAAGUAGAAAGAAAAUAAGUAGAAGAAAAGCAGAAAAAUAAGCCAGUGAGUAAUUUUAAAAGAGUAAAUAUUGGCUGAGGUCAGCGUCCUUUUAUUUAUAGGUGUUAUUAGGGAAGAGAUGCACUAUACAUUUAUGAAACACCUGGCAGGUUGGAAACAAACGUUGGAAACAGGCACUCCUGGCUGGAAGACAUAUUUUUGUUUUCUUUAGGCCUUUCAUGACACUUUUAGAUCUCUGUAGCUAAUCAGGCUGCUGCAUUACUGAUAGAGAAUAUUGACGUUGAAAAAGAGUGGACAUGAGGCACAAUGGGUUUGGUGGUGUGUAUAUAAACAUUUCUAACUACACCCUCAUGGGAAAAAGUUCCAACUCUCUCCAUGCAGAAAACAAGUCAUGACCUUUGAGAAAGUAAGCAAUAGAGAUAAGUCUAAGCUGCCAGAUAUUUAUUCCUGCCCAACAGGAUGGAAAGGGAUGCUAUGGAAUUAGAAAUUUGGCUUCAUUUCUAGAACUCCACUUCUAUGUGUACACAGUUCUAUUUAUUUUACCACAAUGGUUCAGGUAUUUGGACUUUUCUUGGAUAAGUUUCUAACCAGACCCAUGUCCAGUUAUUCUAUACACCUUUUCCCCCAGUUUUGAAACAUUAUCUGCAUUGAUAUGUAUAGAGCCAUUGAUUUUGUUAAUUUAUGUAGGUGCUCACCUUUGUUACUAAGCCCUUCUAAAUGCUUUAAUUCACAGAACAGAUUGUUCUUUUGGUGUGAAACCAUACUUUUUGUUGGUUAAACACUAGCAGCUGGAGGGGCUUUAAUGUGUUUUAAUAGGGACCAUGAAACUGCCCUUUUGUUUUACACUUUCUUGUACUUAUACUGUGCCCCUAUUCCUUGUACUCACUACUCUCAGUAUUUAAUGUAGAUAGUUAAAAUGCUUAUAAGAGAGAGGCAGGGAACAGUUUAACCUCUGACAAGGGCAGCAUUUUUAAAUUCAACCAUAAGCAUUUAGUUUAGGAAAAUCUGUUUCCACUUUCCUGAUGAACCCUUUAAAAAAAUUCUGUUUAACUACAUACAGCAAAGCCAUGAUAUCAGCCCUGCCACAAAAGGCCAAAUCCUGCAGAUCCCUAUUUGCAUGAGAAGUCCUUCAAACUGGGAGUACUUUUCAAGUGAAAGGAAUACACAUGUGAUUUUAGGAUUUGCAGAAUUUGGCCUCCAGCUAAUCACUUGGCAAAAUUGUGCCUCAACAAAAUUUGUGGUCUCAAGUAAAACUUCUUAAGUGGUUUUUGAUUCCUUUGCAAUAGUAUUAAGCUCCUUUAGGAAAAAAGAACUGCCAGGUGAUGAACUUUCCUGGGAUCCAGAAUGUUUGCUAAAACGAUAUCAAAACAACACCCUAACAGUUGAGUCAUGGAAUUUAAAAACCCAAAGUUUUACAACAGUGCAACCUAGAGAUUAAUGAAUUAAUCUCAUUUCCUCUAUGCAGUAGAAUAAAUGUAAAAGACCAAUUUGUCUUGGAAAAACUGAUUUCAAAUUGAAGGAUAAUCUAGUAAUUUUAAAAAGGCAAAAUUCUGUAGCCUUACUGGAGGAAAAUUCCUAAUGUUGUUGUUUGACAUUUAAGGAGCAUUACCUGACUCAAGGCUGUAGCUCUGUAAAAGAUGAUUUUACUAGAGCUGGCAUUUUUAUUUGCUUCCAGAAGUAUUUUCAGAAGUGAAGCAAGAUUUCCCUUUCCUCUGUUGGAAGCAGAGAGGGAUUCCUCUUUUCCACCUUGUUUGUUAAGAAGUGCUGCACCACACCACUGUCUCUUCUUGCUUGUUACAAGAAUGUCUCCUGCUGCUUCAGCAGAUAUUUGAGGGCAAUCCAUGUGUCAGUCUCUCCAGGGAUCCUCCUGCAGCCAGUAAUGUCUCUUCAGAUGGCUCCAUUGCACUCCAAGACAACAUGGUAUCCAGAAACCUACCAGAAAGGAGGAGAUAAAAUCCACAGAGCAGCCAUUCCUCAAGGAAGGUUCACACCAGAAAAAAGAAAUAAAACAGAGCUACUGUAGGUCAACAGCAGAACUACAACUGUUCACAACUCCACGGCAUCUCUAUCCAAUUAUCCCAAAGGAUUUGGCAAAUGCCCAAAAGGAAUGAUAUGGUUGUCUACUUUUGUAGGAAGAAACAAACUGGAUAAAGCUCAUUUCUUUCAAUGGCAGACAUCUGUGAUUUUUUACUGGGUUUACAAAUGCAAUGUGUUCCAAAAGGCUGGGGGUAGCAAUACAGUACUGAAGCCCUGUGUCUUAUGAAUGUUAAAUACUAUUUAAUUCUGAAUGUAUUUUCACUAAAUCAGACUUCUGAUAUUUCAUGAGUUGUAUUAAUAGAAAACUCAUAAACAUCUUAAUAGAAAACUGUUUGUGGUACAAGAAUCCUCUAAAAUAACCUGAAAAUAGCUGCUCCAUGUUUUAUAAUGCCAAAAUUUUGCAGGCUACUAUCUCUAGUGCUUUCCCUCUCUUUCACUGUUCCCCACAUUGAAUCUAUCCCAGAUGCAACACUAAAUACCACUUUGUCCAAGACCUAUGCUUCUCCCACCUCUGAAGAGGAAAGGAAACCUUUAUCUGCAAAUAUACAUUUUUGGUUGUUUGGUUCUUAAAGUGUUUCAAGCUGUUUCACAUUAGUCUCAGAGGCCGAGGUGGUGUACAGAACAGAAGGCAGGUGAGACAGUUCAUGAUAAAUGAAAAUUAUCUCAUGAACAUCAGCACCUCAUUUGUGUACAUGUGUGUUUUCCCCGUUGCCGAGUUAAUUAUUCUUGGUAAUAAUAUUGAGUCAGACACAUGACUAUAUCAUUGCAGACAAACCCAUGUUAUUAAUGCAUUUUCACUAAAGUAAUCCUUGCCACAGGCAAGAUUUUAACCUUCUAAUGGGUUAUAAGCUGCUCAUGCACGUAGUUGCUCUACCCAAGGAACAGACUGUGAACAAACUUAAACUUGUAGUCCUCGUUUAUGCCUUGGUCUCCCUCAUCUCUGGGGAGGAAUAAGAGACAGAGCCAUAAGCAUUUUAAUAUCUCUGAAGAUUCUUUGAUACAGAUGAAUUUCUAUGUAAAGAUCAUAUAAGAAAAGAAUACUGGGUGUAAGAACACUUCUUUCUUAAAGUGACUGCAACUUCAUUAUUAGGUACAGGAAGAAAGAAAAACACCAGCUCUUGUUCAUGAAGGAGCUAAUCCCAGCUGUCACGCAGCCGCUCAGGAGAGCUGAGUCCUGUUUGCUCCAGUGACUAAUUCCAGCUGAACAGAGCACAUCUUGUCUCUGCUGGCAUUUCAGUUUGAAGGACCUUACCACCCAAAACCUGGUAUCUCUCUUUUUAGCUUUCCCUGCCCUGGUGGCUGGUGGUGCAGCUGCCCCAGUGCUGAGUGCUGGCAGCUUAAAGUAGAGUGACAGGCAGCAGCGUUAAAGAACAUGCUCUUACUCAAAGGAGCAGCUCCCUGCUGGAACACCCUGAAUUAGGGCUGCUUACUUUUCUGAGCAAAAGCCUGUUUUUACUAUUGUUAGCUCUGUAGAGCCAAGGAGCUCUGGGAGGGCUUCUAUUCAGUUUUGUACAUCAUUAACCAAAUUGUCAGUUAAUUUUCUAUUAUGGAAUCUUUAUUACCAUCAGUGACCUAUGAGGCAGAAUGAAUAUUUUUUACUUUCAAAUCUCAUGUGGAAGCUGCAGGUUGCCAGCUGGAAAAAAAAAAUUCUGACCUGCAAAUUUAGUAAAUAUGGUAGGAAAGUAAUUGAAAAUGAAAAAUAAGGAUCUUCAUUUUAUCCCUGUUAAAGACUAACUGAAUUAUAAACACAUUUUUAAAAAGUGUCUUUUUCAGUUUUGUGUGUGUGUGUGAUGUUUCCUUUUUUUUCCCUUUUGUGUCCUUUUUGUCAGUUCUUUCAGGCUCUGUUAAGUCCCUAGGUUUCAAAUCAUGUUGAAGCAUAUAGUUUUGUUAACCCUAAAACUGGCAUCCUAGAGGUGUCAAAAAUGAGAUUGGAUUAAAAAUCUUAAAUUCCAGAAAAAAUAAGAUGUAAUUUUAGAACUUCUAAUAUUUUAUCAAAUUUUUAUUUUCAGAUGUUACAAAUGUGAGAGGUAGAAACAAAGAAAAAGCAGCUUAAAACGGUCAUGGGUUCAUUCAUGUCCAAGAAUGGCAGUUAUAAAGGAAGAAGCAAAUAUUGAAACUCAAGAUAAAAUCUUGAGACUUUUCAAAACGGAGCACCACCAUCCCCCCAGUCCAAAGCAGUUCUUGUUCUGGAAUUUGGAUUGUAAAUCUCCACUAAGAAGGUAGAGCAAAAAUACAGCACAGUGGUGUCAUUUCUGUAAAGAAAAAUUAACUUUAAAAAACCCCUGAAAACAAAGCCACUUAAAGCUGAGCGGCUGGUAUGAAAAAACUGAAGCACUGGAAGACUUGCAAGUGCAGAUUAAGGUACACUUCUCCUAGCCAAUUUUGUCUCCAUGUCUCUUUGCUCAGUGCAUGUCCUUUUUGAGGUGAAGACAGUUAAAUCCAACAAUCUCCUUAUGCUUUGUUGAGGUCAACAGUAGUUUUAAAUGUGAAAGGACUGAAGCACUUACUCCCUGUCUAGGAAGCCAUUACAGCAAGACCUGUUGACCCUAUAGCUCCUUACACUACGCUGCUAUUUUAGGAACUCCACAGAACAGUGUAAAUUAUUCUGAGAUGAAUAAAAUCAUGAAGAAGAAAAGCAUGUAACUAAAAAGCAUCCAUCUUAGUGGAGAGUGGACUAAAUCAAAAAUUAUGCAGGAAAAUAAUUCAAUGAUGCUGGGGGGAAAAAAAAAAAAUUAGGGGAGAUAUUUGCACAGUUUGUAACCUACGGAAAAUAACUCCAUCUCAGGCAAGGAUCCCGUGGCAGAAAAUAUAGCGCAAAUAGAAUUGGGCAGGAGGAGUAAACAGGGUUGAAUUCAAUUUGUAUUAGAAAGCUCAUAGUAGCUCUAAUUGUACAGAAAUGACAGCCACUCAACAUAGUAAACAGCCUAUGGUAGAGAUCCUAGUGCAACUUCAAAAACAACAAGAAAAGCUGAGAUCAUCUGAGUGACCUCUCUAUCCCUGCAAAAAGAAGCACUGAAAACACACACUUGUACUGAGGAGUAAGUGCUCACUCAAAGAAUGCAUGAAAAGUGCAUGGAUCUACAGGGUAUAAGGUUUUCCUAAGUAAUGCUUCUCUAAGAUGUAAAAUACUUUUUCAAUAAUUACUCACCCUGUUGUUCAAAAAUGAGCUACUUUUGCUGAUACAGAAGCUCAUUUUAUAAAAGCUAUGACUGAAAUCCAAAUAAAUUGUUCUGUGUGAACUUUUGUAUUUUUAUCAGCUUUGCAAAACUCUGAAAAGAUAAAGUCAAGAUAGAAGGCUAAUCAAACAGAGGGAGCUUUUUACCGCCCCUAGAUGCAGUGAACUAACACAAAGUUAGUAAAACUAACACGUGUGGAAGCUGUUUGCAUGAAAUUAUUGUCAUCAACUUUGCUCAAAACACAGAAUAAAACUUUUCUGAGAGUUCAAA